CUGAAGACAACGCAUACUUGAACUAGAAAGCACGGAGCAAUCAAGCCGGUACUCACUUGGAAGCUUCGUCCUUUCUGGUUGGCUUUCACAGCCAGAAGGUGUUAUGCAGGUUCCUGGAGGAGAAAAGCAAUCAUCACUCUUGCCCAGCUGUGAGCCCUACAAGCUACAUCAAUGACCAGCCUGGCCAGAUGUGCCCACUGGGGCAGCAAUGAGACAAAAUGUUACGGGAGUAGCCAACCACUUUCUAUUUGGAUUUAAGACAUGCUCUACAAGAUGGAAAACAUGCCUGACACCAUUACUAGAGCGAAGCACCUGUGGCUGGACAGUUUCAAGCCCUUAGAGGGAACUUAUUACUUUGCUAAAUUGACCUAGUAUGAAACUAUCAAUGACUUACUUUUUUUUUUUUUUUUUGAAACAGGGUUUCUCUGUGUAGCCUCGGCUGUCCUGGACUCGCUUUGUAGACCAGGCUGGCUUCAAACUCACAGAGAUCUGUCUGCCUCUGCCUCCCUGAGUGCUAGGAUUACGGGUACACGCUACCAUACCCAGCAACUUACUGUUUGUUAUAUUCAUAGACUGAUAUAUCUUUCAGCCGUCAUUGGAAAAAAAUCUUCUUUUUGUAGUUCAACGACUCAUGAAGUUGCAGAGAAUAAGAGACUGUAGAAUUCUCACCCCUAAAUUGGACAUUUAUAUCACAAACUCUACUGUCAAGCCUCAGGGACCAUGUGGAAAAGGGUUGGGGGCAGGGGGGAGAUUGUUGGAGCCAGGAGUAGUGGGUAGCCUUAAGAAAAGAGUGUUUUCUGGACACAGAGGGACAGUUGCUCACAUGUGUAGAGUGGCUGAGGGGGUAAACGCUGGAAGAGGGAGAGUCAGUUUUCUUUCUGAGUGUGGCCCUUGUAGGCUAACCACACUCCAGUGGACGGUCACACACCCAAGAAUAUUUGCCGAGCACAGAUUGGACUCGGUGGUUAAAGACAGAGCGUGUAUGUGGGGGGGAACAAAGUUAGGUGGAGAAGGAGUGGGUGGGCAGGAAUAGGAUCAAAAUAUAUUAUGUAAACGUUUAAUAAAACAAAAAGAUGAGCGCCUUGUGGAUGUUAAAGAAGAGGUAAGACUUAGAAAGUUUGCAAACUUUCUUUCAGAAACAGAAGCCUUGUCUGAGAUCUAAAGGACAUAGGCAAAUCCUCCCACAGCUGUAAAUGAAGGCUAUUUUGGGGGCUCAGCUACUCAAGAGAAGAAAUUAGAGAAGUCACUUAGCUGCUGGAACUCUAACUGCUGGGUGGAACUGUAACCAGGCCGCGCAGCCCUUCUGAGCCCGAGCCCUCCCCUUUGCCGGCAGUAUCACCUCAUGAAAGGCCCAAGGCACUGUGACUGUAAAGAUCCAUCUCAGCAGAGUCAAGAAUGUAUCCACCCCAAGGAGUGACCUUUUUACAUCAAGGUACAAAUGACACGUACAGUAUU